UGGUAACUAGUGGGCUCUCUGUCAUCUAACCUGCCUCCAUCCCUUUAAGAGGCAAUGCAAAGGCCCUUGGAGCUGAGCAGUGUGAAUGAGCAGUUAGAACCACGUGCAUGCACACUCACAGUGCCCUCUGCUUCAACAACUGGCUGCUGCCAGGGCUUCAGGGGCUGCAGGAGCCAGGAGCGUUGGGAAAAGAUAUGAAGCAGGUGCUGGAUGACAGGCUCGCAGCCAGGCCCAGGCUGGGACUGAAGGUGGAUGUGAAGGAGAAAAUGGCCAGGCUCCACACCUGAGGCAUUUGAGGAUCAUUCAGCUCCAGAAGGUCUGUGUGAGGAAUGCUAUCUCUGCCGUGCUGAAAAUAGGAGGCGCCUACCCUUACCGGUCUUGAUUGCUGCCACCGAAAGGACUGUUUUGCCGCCACCGGAGGAAGAAGAGAUUGCUGCCACCGACAAGCCCGCGAGGUGGGCUCCGGUGGAAGGCGGUGUUCAGCACCACGGACAGCGCCGGCAGCUCCGUCCCCGCACACCGGGGCUGAUCGCUCCCGUAGUGCCACUUCCAUCCUUCCUCCUCCUCCCCACGAAGGGCUUUCUGGUGGGAAUGUGUGGCGGUGCGAAUGGAUGUUUGUUUCUUCUAGUCCUGAGGAUAUAGCAGGAGGACCAUCUCGAUAGCAAAGUGGCAGAGGACUGUCUUGAAAAUACA
rnacentral:lncRNA from 1 species